AGUAGAAAAUGAAGAAUGCUUGAAGAGCAUUGCAUUCCACUGAAACGCAAAACAAAAGCGUGUCGAAUGGAUUUCACGGAGAAGGACCUAUUCGGCGAAGAUUCCGACAACGAAAACGGGUCCCACUCCACCGGUUCCUCUUCUUCCUCCUCCGCCGCUUCCUCCUCCUCAUCGUCGUCGUCUUCCGCCUCUUCCUCCAACGCCAGUGACGCCGCCGCCGACUCCUCCUCCGCCAGCGGAAGCGCCAGCAGCGGCGCCGAAGACGACGAGGAGAAUGGCGACGUCGUAGACAGCACCAAGGCGCGUGCCCAUCACCAACACGACGACGAAGACAAAGAUCUGUUUGGCUCCGAUAACGAAGAUUACUGUAAAACCCUCGCUCGAAGUCCUUACCCCAUUCCUGUAUUGCCUGCCACCCGCAAUGCAAAUAAUCAGGGUAGAGGGGGGUUUGGCCGUGGUCGUUGGCAGCAAGGGCAUGGAAAUGAUAGAGGAGCUGGCCUUCUUCCUCGUCCUGGACCUUAUCCUCAGAGACAGAAUUUUGGGUACGGAAAUAGGUUUCAGAAUGGCCGCCACGAUGAGCGAUUUGUCUCUGAUUUGAAGCUUUCAAAAAGUGAAGAAACACUGUCAAGGAAGUGCAUUGCUUUUCAGGAGCCUUGUGAAAUUGCCUGCUAUAGUCGUGUAGAAGGCGGGGAAGUAUACUUUGACGAUCGUAGCUUGAGACUUUUUAAGCGUCAUAUCACCGAGGAUAUUGGAGCUGAUUUGAAUGAAGGUUAUGAUACAUUCAUUCCCAAGAAAGACUUAGGCUCAGAAGGCUUUGGCGAUCUUCUUGCUUGCAUUAGAGACAAAAAUAUUCCUCUUCAAAAUAUUCAUUUUGUGACAUUCCGUAACAAUCUUAACAAGAUACUGGCAACAGCUUAUAUCCGUCAUGAGCCUUGGGAAAUGGGAGUGCACAAAAGGAAUGGGGUUGUCUAUCUUGAUGUGCAUAAGUUACCAGAAAGACCACAAAGUGAUUUAGAUCGCAGGAGAUGUUAUGUAGGAUAUUGUUUUGAGAGCCUUGCCACUGAAGAUCCUAGAAGAGAUGAUGGAGAAGGGAUACAUCAUGUUGAUGCCAAUGUUGAAUUUUGUUCUGUGAUUAAGACAAAAUUAGGAGCUCACCGCAUUUUAAUGGGUGCUGAGAUGGAUUGCUGUGAUUCAACUAAUGAGGGAAAGAGAUUUUAUGUGGAAUUAAAGACAAGUUGUGAGUUAAAUUAUCACACUGAGGAAAGAUUUGAGAGAGAGAAACUGUUAAAGUUUUGGGUACAUUUUUAUCCUUUAUUCAGUCUUUCCUGGCUGGUGUUCCGUACAUUGUCAUAGGAUUUAGGGAUGACGCAGGUCGUCUUGUUCGAACAGAAAGGCUUAGAACCAAAGAUAUAACUCAGAGAGUGAAAAUGAAGAACUACUGGCAGGGAGGAGUCUGCUUGGCAUUUGCUGAUGAGGUAUUAUGCUGGCUGUAUGGAACAGUCAAAGAAGGUGAAGAUUACAUUUUGCAGUUUGCUCCACCUUUCAACCGUUUAGAGCUUCUGCAAGCCCAGUCAUGCCCAGAUGUAAUAACAAGUCAUCUGGAGCUGUUGUGAAAAUUUGACAGUUAUUAUUUAAACAAUUCAAUACACGAAGUAAGGGGAAUCAACUCUGGAUUCUCACCCGCUGCUUUGAUCAGUUCACGAACUUCUAGUAUAGGGGUACUCUCUGCGAGUGCUGAGAUUUGCAUUCACAUCUUUAUAGAAACUUGUGGAAAUAUUAUGGCCAUGUUUAGUUGGAAUAUAGUUCUUUAUUUUACCGUUCUCAUCUUUAUGCUUC